GCACGAGCAACUGUGACCAGCUGCCCUCCCAUCCUGCUCCAUGGACACCAAAAAAUGCAGAACCUGAAACUUAGCAAAUGGAUGUAUUCCAGGGAUUUGGAUGAAGAAACUGAAUCCUUCUUCACUCUCUGAGAUACUUGAACAAAAUAAUACUGUAGGAAGGUUUUGCAGCGUAGCUGGGUGAAAUGAAGUUUGAGGAAAGUAUUAAUGAACAUUUUAAAAAUGAGAAGAAUCCUGAGAAGAGCAGCCACGGACACAUAAACAGCUCAAUAAUAACAACAUAGAAAUAUUCUCAAGCAAUAAUUGUGGAAAACACAUAUGAAAACAACAUAACAAAAUUUCAAGAGAUUAGUAUAAAAAAUACAGGAAAGAGACAGAAGUGGCUGCCAAAGGCCUUUGAAUACAGUCCUGUUAACCUCUUCCCCUUCCUGGAUUUUGUGACCUGCUUUGUAAAGUAGUUACAGAUUUGCGUACCAUGUCUGACAGCUCAAAAAAUCACACCACUCUUUCAUAACAAAUAUAAGUAGAGAUUAUUUGGUAUAAUAUGUCAUAGAUCAAAGAGCAUUGGGGUCCAGGUACUCACUCUGACUCCACCUUGACUGCAUACUAGGGGGAAAGCCAGAUGUUUGUGCUCCUUUUCCUUCCGUGAGGCUCUUUUCCACCCGAGGAAGACCUAGGCACGUGAGAAGAGAGGGGCUGGUGAUGUACUUGAACAGGUCCCCCAGUGUGGGAUAUCAGUGACUAUUAAUACAGGAUUUACCUUCGAGUGCACCUGAACCACAGUUUUGAUAUCAAGAUCAAGAAAAAAUUGAAGCUCUACCCUAAAGGACUUAGAAUAUCUGUGCAAAUGUAAGUACAUGCUUAUAUUUAAGGAAUGAAAUGAACAACUCUCUUGAUUUAUUCAUCCAGAACUGAAUCAGUACAUUGACUUUUAGAUUAAUAGGCUAACUUUUAAAUGACGAGAGUUUCACUGUAAGUAAUGUGUUGUUCAAAACUUCUUCUAUUUUAUAUUAAGGGGAAAAAAAGGCUGUGGCGAGGUGAGCGGCUCUGAAGGCAGAGAUGUUCCAGGGGUAACGGGUUGUAGUGCAAAAGGUGCUGAGUGGUUGGAGGGAAAACUCAACAAAUUUAAGAGACACUUUUGUAUCCUGCAAAUAAUCUAAUGUGGACUGUGUAUGAAUUGGAUUUAUUUGGAUACCAGUACCUUAGUCAGACAUCAUAGUUUUUCUCUAGCCAGCUGAAUACAGCUAAGAAAUUUGUAACUGUAAUGCAGAUAAGUUUCUGGUGCUGAGUCCCACAUCCUAUAUACGUCCUUCAUUCUUCCA
rnacentral:lncRNA from 1 species